rnacentral:rRNA from 1 species
AGUGAACGCUGGCGGUAGGCCUAACACAUGCAAGUCGAACGGCAGCACAGUAAGAGCUUGCUCUUACGGGUGGCGAGUGGCGGACGGGUGAGGAAUACAUCGGAAUCUACUUUUUCGUGGGGGAUAACGUAGGGAAACUUACGCUAAUACCGCAUACGACCUACGGGUGAAAGCAGGGGAUCUUCGGACCUUGCGCGAUUGAAUGAGCCGAUGUCGGAUUAGCUAGUUGGCGGGGUAAAGGCCCACCAAGGCGACGAUCCGUAGCUGGUCUGAGAGGGUGAUCAGCCACACUGGAACUGAGACACGGUCCAGACUCCUACGGGAGGCAGCAGUGGGGAAUAUUGGACAAUGGGCGCAAGCCUGAUCCAGCCAUACCGCGUGGGUGAAGAAGGCCUUCGGGUUGUAAAGCCCUUUUGUUGGGAAAGAAAAGCAGCAGGUUAAUACCCCGCUGUUCUGACGGUACCCAAAGAAUAAGCCCCGGCUAACUUCGUG